AAAAAAUUAGUUAAAUUAUAAUAUUAAAUUGUCAUUUUAAAGUAAUUAAUUUAUUUAAUAUUUUUUA
rnacentral:tRNA from 1 species